ACGGGGGGUGCAAGCGUUGUUCGGAAUCAUUGGGCGUAAAGCGCGUGUAGGCGGCUUAACAAGUCAGAUGUGAAAUCCCUGGGCUUAACCCAGGAAGUGCAUUUGAAACUGUUUGGCUUGAGUAAGGGAGAGGAAAGUGGAAUUCCUGGUGUAGAGGUGAAAUUCGUAGAUAUCAGGAGGAACACCGGUGGCGAAGGCGACUUUCUGGCCCUAUACUGACGCUGAGACGCGAAAGCGUGGGUAGCAAACAG
rnacentral:rRNA from 1 species